CCAGGGGGUGGCUUCGGCCUGAGACUUUCACACUGUGAAUAAACUCCUAGAACCUGAUCCGGUUAAUGCCGGCGGAGGGAUGGGUCUAGAU
rnacentral:ncRNA from 1 species